rnacentral:rRNA from 1 species
GCUGGCGGCGUGCCUAAUACAUGCAAGUCGAACGCGAAAGUCCUUCGGGAUGAGUAGAGUGGCGCACGGGUGAGUAACACGUGGGUAAUCUGCCUAGAGAUGGGGAAUAACCCCUCGAAAGAGGGGCUAAUACCGCAUAAGACCACAGCUUCCACGGAAGCAGCGGUUAAAAGUGACCUCUAUUUAUAAGUUAUUGUCUCUAGAUGAGCCUGCGCAGCAUUAGCUAGUUGGUGGGGUAAUGGCCUACCAAGGCUACGAUGCUUAGCUGGUCUGAGAGGAUGAUCAGCCACACUGGAACUGAGACACGGUCCAGACUCCUACGGGAGGCAGCAGUAGGGAAUAUUGCUCAAUGGGGGAAACCCUGAAGCAGCAACGCCGCGUGAGUGAUGAAGGCCUUCGGGUCGUAAAGCUCUGUUGUACGGGAAGAAUGCGGGAACAGCUAACAUCUGUUUCCAGUGACGGUACCGUAUAAGAAAGGACCGGCUAACUUCGUGCCAGCAGCCGCGGUAAGACGGGGGG